rnacentral:snoRNA from 1 species
UCAGACUGAAAAUGAUCUCAGGUGUUUCAGUGAUCUGAGGUCAGACACCUGAGCCGAAAUGGUCCCGGUGCAUUAAGCUUAUCGACUGCUCCUCCCGUUGGCAGAGUGAUAAAACCCAUGCUCCGACAAAC